rnacentral:rRNA from 1 species
CAAGAGCGUAUAUUAAAGUUGUUGCAGUUAAAAAGCUCGUAGUUGGAUUUCUGGUACAAUGCGCCUGACCCGCGGCAGUAAUGCCUGUGAGUGUCGGUGCGCGUUUACCAUCCUUCUAGGGAACGUUCCUUCUCUUCACUGAGCCGGGUUCGUGAUCUAGAUCGUUUACUUUGAAAAAUUAGAGUGUUCAAAGCGGGCGUUUGCUUGAAUAUAUUAGCAUGGAAUAAUGGAAUAGGACCCUGGUCCUAUUUUGUUGGUUUUGAGGACUAGAGUAAUGAUUAAUAGGGAUAGUUGGGGGCAUUCAUAUUUAAUUGUCAGAGGUGAAAUUCUUGGAUUUAUGAAAGAUGAACUUCUGCGAAAGCAUUUGCCAAGGAUGUUUUCAUUAAUCAAGAACGAAAGUUAGGGGAUCGAAGACGAUUAGAUACCAU